rnacentral:rRNA from 1 species
GACGAACGCUGGCGGCGUGCUUAACACAUGCAAGUCGAACGGAAAGGCCCUGCUUGCAGGGUACUCGAGUGGCGAACGGGUGAGUAACACGCGGGUGAUCUGCCCUGCACUUCGGGAUAAGCUUGGGCAACUGGGCCUAAUACCGGAUAGGAGCCAUCUUUAGUGUGGUGGUUGGAAAGUUUUUUCGGUGUAGGAUGAGCUCGCGGCCUAUCAGCUUGUUGGUGGGGUAAUGGCCUACCAAGGCGGCGACGGGUAGCCGGCCUGAGAGGGUGUACGGCCACAUUGGGACUGAGAUACGGCCCAGACUCCUACGGGAGGCAGCAGUGGGGAAUAUUGCACAAUGGGCGCAAGCCUGAUGCAGCGACGCCGCGUGGGGGAUGAAGGCCUUCGGGUUGUAAACUCCUUUCGCUAGGGACGAAGCUUUGUUGUGACGGUACCUAGAUAAGAAGCACCGGCUAACUACGUG